rnacentral:tRNA from 1 species
UCCUGGGUGGCUCAGUCGGUUAAGUGUCCGACUUUGGCUCAGGUCAUGAUCUCACAGUUCGUGGGUUCAAGCCCCACCUCGGGCU